GACGUAGGAUGCGAGCGUUGUCCGGAUUUAUUGGGCGUAAAGAGCGUGUAGGCGGCCAGACAGGUCCGUUGUGAAAACUCGAGGCUCAACCUCGAGACGCCGAUGGAAACCGUUUGGCUAGAGUCCGGAAGAGGAGAGUGGAAUUCCUGGUGUAGCGGUGAAACGCGCAGAUAUCAGGAAGAACACCCGUGGCUAAGGCGGCUCUCUAGUACGGUACUGACGCUGAGACGCGAAAGCGUGGGGAGCGAACAGG
rnacentral:rRNA from 1 species